UGAUGACAGUCUCCGGAUUCGCUGUACUGCUUUGAUGAAAUUUAAUUGAACCCUUUUCCAUCUGAUGAAUGAAGUCUGUAAUG
rnacentral:snoRNA from 1 species